rnacentral:lncRNA from 1 species
ACAAAUUGUGAUUCUUUAUUCUUUUGCAACUGAAAAAUUCAAGUAUAUACUAAUAGAGGUUACUCCCUAUUUAUAGAUUUUGCUUGAUUGCUCCCUAAGUAAAACCUAAAAACAAAAGCCCAAAAUACAUAAUUCUGACAACACUACAAAAUUAGGUUUAAAACCAAAUAUGUUGAGGCUAACUCCUCGACACUUCUACACUCACACACUUUUG